GAGGUCAAAAGCAACACAGAUAAUAAUCUAUACUAUAGAACUGUAAUGAGCAUACCAAUAUUCAUUUCUCUUCCUGGGGACAUUUGAAGUAAACAGUGUGCUUGUUACUAGUACUGUUUCUUAGCUCUAAGACCAUUCUUCUAUACUCUGCCAGAUUGCCUUUUUUCCCCUUUGGGGAUUUCCUAGGGCCAAUUUAACAAUAUAAGAAGAUAUUCUCAGUUGUAACAACUGGGAAAUGGAGGGACAA